UACGGAGGGUGCAAGCGUUAUCCGGAUUUACUGGGUUUAAAGGGUGCGUAGGUGGGUUUUUAAGUCAGUGGUGAAAUCCCGGAGCUCAACUCCGGAACUGCCAUUGAUACUAUUAACCUUGAAUUCUGCGGAGGUUAGCGGAAUAAAUCAUGUAGCGGUGAAAUGCUUAGAUAUGAUUUAGAACACCGAUUGCGAAGGCA
rnacentral:rRNA from 1 species